rnacentral:rRNA from 1 species
CUACGGGAGGCAGCAGUGGGGAAUAUUGGACAAUGGGGGAAACCCUGAUCCAGCAAUGCCGCGUGUGUGAAGAAGGCCUGCGGGUUGUAAAGCACUUUCGGUUGGGAGGACUGCUUCUAGCACUAAUAUUGUUGGAAGUUGACGUUACCUUCAGAAGAAGCACCGGCUAACUCCGUGCAAGCAGCCGCGGUAAUACGGAGGGUGCAAGCGUUAGUCGGACUUACUGGGCGUAAAGCGCGCGUAGGCGGCUAGAUCAGUCGGGUGUGAAAGCCCCGGGCUUAACCUGGGAACUGCAUCCGAUACUGUCUAGCUUGAGUACAGGAGAGGAGAGUGGAAUUCCACAUGUAGCGGUGAAAUGCGUAGAUAUGUGGAGGAACACCAAUGGCGAAGGCAGCUCUCUGGCCUGAUACUGACGCUGAGGUGCGAAAGCGGGGGGAGCAAACAGGAUUAGAUACCCUUGUAGUC